UACAGGGGGUGCAAACGUUGCUCGGAAUCAUUGGGCGUAAAGCGCACGUAGGCGGUUCGUUAUGUCGGAUGUGAAAGCCCUUGGCUUAACCGAGGAAGUGCAUCCGAAACUGGCGAGCUAGAGUACGAAAGAGGAUCGCGGAAUUCCUGGUGUAGCGGUGGAAUGCGCAGAUAUCAGGAGGAACACCGGUGGCGAAGGCGGGGUCUCUGGGCAGAAACUGACGCUGGAGGAGCGAAAGCGGUGGGGAGCGAACAGG
rnacentral:rRNA from 1 species